UUCCGUUGGCGGGGCUGCGGAUGGAUCAUUAACGUUCUAUUUGACAUAGAUAAACGUAAAAGAAAAAAGUAUUGAUACUAACGUUAGUUAGUAUUGAUAUCUUUCUCUCUUAUUAUUUAUUCUAUUCAAAUAACAUAAACGUACACCCUUGUGGUGAAUAUAGGAACUAGAGUGUGAUUCUAGUGAAAGUGUAAAAGGGAGUAGAGAUGGCAGCAUGAUAUUUUAUAUUAUAAGGCCAUUAACAUUUUCUUUGCUUAGCUAGAAUCGCUUCUGUCUAUUAUAUAAACGCAAUUCUAUUUCAUUUAUUAAGACUAAAGUUUACCUUGUGGAUCAGUAACAUGAUUACCAAGUAAAACAAUUAAUAAAUCUAAUACAACUGCUAGCAACGGAUCACUCGGCUCUCGCGUCGAUGAAGAACGUAGCGAACUGCGAAAAUUAAUGCGACCCGCAACACGAAUCCCUUCGGAGUGAGUCAUCGAGUCUUUGAACGCAUAUUGCACCCGACGGGUUUACUUGUCGGGUCUGCCUGUCUGAGUAUCAAUACGGACCCAAUCAAUAAAUAAUAUUUGUUGUAUUGGUGCUCACCGAAUAUUAUUAUUUGGUGGAAAUGAGUGUUCAAUCACCUUGUGAUUGAUCAUUUGAAAUGUAUUGGUAUUGAUUAUAACGCAAGUUGUAAUCAACCAACGACUAGUGUUAUUAGAGUCGUAUAAACAUUGUUAAUCAUCUUUCAUUAGGUGUUCAUUGUUUAUUAUCUAGUAUCAUAAACGGUCGAUGGAUUAAAUACCAACUAGCUAAUAUCAGUACUUAACCACUAUUGAUAUCUGCACGUAUAUUACCAUUCUUGAUCUCAGAUCAGGCAGGAUGACCCGCUGAACUUAAGCAUAUCAAAAGCCGGAGGAA
rnacentral:rRNA from 1 species